UGCGUAGGUGGUAUGGCAAGUCAGAAGUGAAAACCCAGGGCUUAACUCUGGGACUGCUUUUGAAACUGUCAGACUGGAGUGCAGGAGAGGUAAGCGGAAUUCCUAGUGUAGCGGUGAAAUGCGUAGAUAUUAGGAGGAACAUCAGUGGCGAAGGCGGCUUACUGGACUGAAACUGACACUGAGGCACGAAAGCGUGGGAGCAAACAG
rnacentral:rRNA from 1 species